UACGGAGGAUCCGAGCGUUAUCCGGAUUUAUUGGGUUUAAAGGGUGCGUAGGUGGCCUGUUAAGUCAGGGGUGAAAGACGGUAGCUCAACUAUCGCAGUGCCCUUGAUACUGAUGGGCUUGAAUGAACUAGAGGUAGGCGGAAUGUGACAAGUAGCGGUGAAAUGCAUAGAUAUGUCACAGAACACCAAUUGCGAAGGCAGCUUACUAUGGUUUUAUUGACACUGAGGCACGAAAGCGUGGGGAUCCAACAGG
rnacentral:rRNA from 1 species